CUUUCAACAACGGAUCUCUUGGUUCUGGCAUCGAUGAAGAACGCAGCGAAAUGCGAUAAGUAAUGUGAAUUGCAGAAUUCAGUGAAUCAUCGAAUCUUUGAACGCACAUUGCGCCCUCUGGUAUUCCGGGGGG
rnacentral:rRNA from 1 species